UUUGUGGAGAGUUUGAUCCUGGCUCAGGAUGAACGCUGGCGGCGUGCUUAACACAUGCAAGUCGAACGGAAAGGCCGAAGCUUGCUUCGGUACUCGAGUGGCGAACGGGUGAGUAACACGUGGGUGAUCUGCCCUGCACUUUGGGAUAAGCCUGGGAAACUGGGUCUAAUACCAGAUAGGACCACGUCUUGGAUGGUGUGGUGGAAAGUUUUUUCGGUGUGGGAUGAGCUCGCGGCCUAUCAGCUUGUUGGUGGGGUAAUGGCCUACCAAGGCGUCGACGGGUAGCCGGCCUGAGAGGGUGUACGGCCACAUUGGGACUGAGAUACGGCCCAGACUCCUACGGGAGGCAGCAGUGGGGAAUAUUGCACAAUGGGCGCAAGCCUGAUGCAGCGACGCCGCGUGGGGGAUGACGGCCUUCGGGUUGUAAACUCCUUUCGCCAGGGACGAAGCGUAAGUGACGGUACCUGGAUAAGAAGCACCGGCUAACUACGUGCCAGCAGCCGCGGUAAUACGUAGGGUGCGAGCGUUGUCCGGAAUUACUGGGCGUAAAGAGCUCGUAGGUGGUUUGUCGCGUCGUUUGUGUAAUACCGCAGCUUAACUGCGGGGUUGCAGGCGAUACGGGCAUAACUUGAGUGCUGUAGGGGAGACUGGAAUUCCUGGUGUAGCGGUGGAAUGCGCAGAUAUCAGGAGGAACACCGAUGGCGAAGGCAGGUCUCUGGGCAGUAACUGACGCUGAGGAGCGAAAGCAUGGGUAGCGAACAGGAUUAGAUACCCUGGUAGUCCAUGCCGUAAACGGUGGGCGCUAGGUGUGAGUCCCUUCCACGGGGUUCGUGCCGUAGCUAACGCAUUAAGCGCCCCGCCUGGGGAGUACGGCCGCAAGGCUAAAACUCAAAGGAAUUGACGGGGGCCCGCACAAGCGGCGGAGCAUGUGGAUUAAUUCGAUGCAACGCGAAGAACCUUACCUGGGCUUGACAUGCACCGGAUCGCUGCAGAGAUGUAG
rnacentral:rRNA from 1 species